ensembl:snoRNA SNORD10 small nucleolar RNA, C/D box 10
GCUCUGUGAUGAACCCCAUGCGUGUCAUCUGAGCCUGGCUUCCCUGCCAUCUCAGCCCAGGGUAGUGUUCUACUUCCCAGGGCUGUUGUCUGGCUUGGCAGGGAGGUCCUGGGCAAAGGAUCAGUCUCUGUAUUCUGAGAGC